GGCGCCAUAGCCAAGUGGUUACGGCGACAGAUUAGAAUUUAACCAUAAUUUAUCUGUUUCCCUUUGGGAGCGCAGGUUCGAGUCCUGCUGGCGUCG
rnacentral:tRNA from 1 species